AUCCUGAUAUAUAUAUCUUGCCACUGGACCCAGAUGGCUCUGGAGGAGAGAGUGAGGUUGGUGACUUUGCACAGCCCACCCUCACUUCAAUCCAAUUCAAUGAUAUGGCAUCACCUUGUGUGUGAAGUGGCCCAUGAGCUGAAGGAACUAGAAAUUCCAAGAGGCUGGAGAUGAGGAGGGAGAGCAUUCCAGGCAUAGGGGAUGGCAAAUACAGUCAGAAAAUGAAACUCCUACUUUGUUUGGGUCUUGCUGUUGCCUAGGAAGAGGAUAUUUGCUUUUGAUCUAUGUUUUGAAUAGUUGUACCUCUGAACCAUAAAAUCAUAGUCAACAUGGCAUCCAUGACAUAUUCAAGUGCCUGAAAAGUGAAGUUAUUUGGAUGUUUCCUAAUCUUUUUUUUUUUUUUUUUAGUGAGGCAAUUGGGGUUAAGUGACUUGCCCAGGGUCACACAGCUAGUAAGUGUUAAGUGUCUGAGGCCAGAUUUGAACUCAGGUACUCCUGACUCCAGGGCCAGUGCUCUAUCCACUGUGCCACCUAGCUGCCCUCCUAAUCUUUUGACAUAAAAGAGGUCCUGGGUGCUUGAGUUAUGUGACAGAUACAUUGAUAUACAGAUGGCAGUAAGUCCUCUUGAGCAUUUAGAAGAUAAGUUGAUAAGAUUCCUCUGCUGAGUUGCUUUAUGAAGUUAGGGCAGCCACCUAGCUCCCAGACCACAUUUCUUUUGACUUUUUUGUUUUUUGGGCAGGGCAAUGAGGGUUAAGUGACUUGCCCAGGGUCACCCAGCUAGUAAGUGUCAGUGUCUGAAUUUGAAUUUGAAUUUGAUUUGAAUUCAGGUCCUUCUGAAUCCAGUGCUGGUUCACUGUGCCAUCUAGCUGCCCCAAUACCACCUACCUACCUCUCUUUUGACUUUUCAGCAUAGAUUUUCACUUCAUUUCCCCCCCACUCCCACAUAGCCCUUCCUGCCUCCUAUUCCUUCUUCUAGUACAUAUCUAUCCUCAUGAUUUGAUCUACCCACAAACCUAAGAACAUAUUGGUGUCCCUGGUUGACUUUCCCUGGCUAUAUGCCCCUUCUCGGAAUUGAAAUGGCCAGGCAUCCUGAACCUGAUGGAAAUUAAUAUGUAACUUCUGAGGCUGCUAACGUGACCUGCUCAUUCUCUCUAUUGGAGAUCUAGGGUGGGUGAAAUAGCAAUUUGUCAUACAGAAUUCAGUACAUAGAAAAGAGAUCAAUAACAAAAUAAACAAGAUGGCAGCAUAACAAAAUGUAAGAAAUGAUGAGAGAGAUGGUUUCAGAAAAACCUGGGAAGAUACACAUGGAUUGAUACAGAAUGAAGUGAGAAGAACCCAGAAAACACUUUUUAGUAAAAUACCAGCACUGUAUUUGAAAGGUGUAAAAACUCUUAACAGUGCAACGAUCAAUCAUGAUGAAUGAAGAAUGCUGCCUAAAUUCUGAUAGAGAAGCGAUGGGCAGAAUGAGGGAGGAGAAGGAGGAGAUGUGGGAAGCAGCAGCAGCAGCAGCAGCAGCAGCAGCAGC